rnacentral:rRNA from 1 species
UACCAGCACCCCGAGUGGUCGGGACGUUUUAUUGGGCCUAAAGCAUCCGUAGCCGGUCCUACAAGUCUUCCGUUAAAUCCACCUGCUUAACAGAUGGGCUGCGGAAGAUACUAUAGAGCUAGGAGGCGGGAGAGGCAAGCGGUACUCGAUGGGUAGGGGUAAAAUCCGUUGAUCCAUUGAAGACCACCAGUGGCGAAGGCGGCUUGCCAGAACGCGCUCGGACGGUGAGGGAUGAAAGCUGGGGGAGCAAACCGG